CGGGGCAUGGCCCAAUGGUAGGGCGUCCGCUUUGGGAGCGGAAGGUUCCGGGUUCAAGUCCCGGUGCCCCGA
rnacentral:tRNA from 1 species